rnacentral:tRNA from 1 species
GGUCGAGUAGUAUAGCGGUUAGAACGAUCGCCUCACACGCGAUAGAUCCGGGUUCGACUCCCGGCUCGACUA